rnacentral:rRNA from 1 species
UGGGGAAUAUUGCACAAUGGGGGAAACCCUGAUGCAGCAACGCCGCGUGAGCGAAGAAGUAUUUCGGUAUGUAAAGCUCUAUCAGCAGGGAAGAAAAUGACGGUACCUGACUAAGAAGCCCCGGCUAACUACGUGCCAGCAGCCGCGGUAAUACGUAGGGGGCAAGCGUUAUCCGGAUUUACUGGGUGUAAAGGGAGUGUAGGUGGCAAUACAAGUCAGAAGUGAAAGCCCGGGGCUUAACCCCGGGACUGCUUUUGAAACUGUAUAGCUUGAGUGCAGGAGAGGUAAGCGGAAUUCCUAGUGUAGCGGUGAAAUGCGUAGAUAUUAGGAGGAACACCAGUGGCGAAGGCGGCUUACUGGACUGUAACUGACACUGAGGCUCGAAAGCGUGGGGAGCAAACAGGAUUAGAUACCCUGGUAGU